GAAUAUUCUGUGAAGAAGAGAGUAAUCCCGACGUGGAUCAUAAGCGAGCCGGGGGCGGUGGGAGCCCGGUGUGAAGUCCUGGAUGAACCGCACUUCUGAGAAGUUCUUCUUGAAAUCAGUAGGGAAGAACCGGGAUCUCCCGUUAUACAAUGAGUGUCCUUAAUCGGGAAUAAGAGUGGUACCGCGAGCUAAACUCGUCUCUGUA
rnacentral:ncRNA from 1 species